UUGUAUAAAUGUUGUGCAUGCCUUUUACCAUACUGUUGAGAUUUGUUUUGGUUAUUUGUGAAUCUUUGGGUUUCGUUUGCGUACGUUUGAAUCGGUGGCGUAGGGAUAGUUUUUUGUUAUUGUUUUAAUUUGUUGGUUUAAGGUGAGUGUUGGAUGUACUUAAGAGUGUAGAAGUUCCAUUUAGGGAUUCAAAGAGAGGAUUGAGAAAAGGGUUUAAGGUGUUCACGGUUGGGAGAAAGAAGAACGAAGGAGGGAGAUAAAGAAAUUGUUUUGGCUGUUGUGUUAUUUGGUCUAUUUAUGUACUAGCAUUUUAUCGUUUCAGCAUCAUUUAAUGCUUAUAAUUAAAAUUGAUUG
rnacentral:lncRNA from 1 species